CGUGUAGGCGGCUUUGUAAGUCGAUCGUGAAAUCCCUCGGCUCAACCGAGGAACAGUGGUCGAUACUGCAGAGCUUGAGUGCAGAAGAGGAAAGCGGAAUUCCAGGUGUAAGAGUGAAAUCUGUAGAUAUCUGGAGGAACACCAGUGGCGAAGGCGGCUUUCUGGUCUGCAACUGACGCUGAAACGCGAAAGCAAGGGGAGCAAACAGGAUUAGAUACCCUGGUAGUCC
rnacentral:rRNA from 1 species